UUUUAGUCUAUCUUGUUCUUUGGAUGAUCAAUUUUGGGUUUCACUGGAUUUGUUUAUGUGAAUUCCUUGAGUUGAAUUUUUAAUGUAAUUUGUGCUUCUGGUGUUUGGUUUAUGGUCCCUUUUUUCAUUUUAUGUAUGUUCCUGUGCCUUUAUGAUUACCUUCUUUUUAGUACAUUUGGAUUAAUAUUGACGGAUCUUUAGUCUGUCUUGUUCUUUGGAUGAUCAAUCUUGGGUUUAACUAGAUUUGUUUAUGUGAAUUUUGUCGGUUGAAUUUUUAAAGUAAUUUGUGCUUUUUGUGUUUGGUUUGUGGUUCCUUUUUCAGUUUAUUAUGUAAGAUUAUUUUAGAAAUUAUGUUCUUAGAGUGAGGGAGAAUGUUCUCUUUGUUUUUCCUAAUUUGAUUGUAGUUAUCUCCGUAAUUUUGAAAUUUGGUUUGUGAUUUUGGUUGUGCUUUUGUUGCACGAGCUUCAACCAUUACGCAUUUCCGUUUUAUGUAUGGUUAAUUCAUCAAUUAUGCCUUUUGAGGUUUUUUUAUUUUUUAUUUUUUUAUGGUUUUGUGAGUUCUUUUUGGGUAAUUUCAUGUUUCUAAUUAAAUUCUUUGAUGGGAUGAAUUUAGAAGGAUACUUUUUGGGUUUUGUUUGUACCAACUGAUGAUUAGCUUCAAGUGUCAGUGGCAUUGAGAAGGGCUUUUUUCCUAGUCUAGUUUCUGAUAUAACUUUCAGCAUUGUUCACACAGCAACACCCGAAUUUGUAUAUUUCUAGACAGGUUUAAUCACAAGCGGCUACUCUAUCUUGUCAUGAUUCAGAUGAUACUAAGAAGUCCAAACUCAACAGUCAUGGUGCGCAUGGAAGAUUAUCUUAGUUUUCAUGGUUUUCUGGUUCUAUAUUAUACUGCUUACCUCGAUUUUCAUUGUCAAUAAUCUAGUAUGUGAAUAUUUCUUAAGAGUUCAUUGAUUUCACUUUUGCUCUGUGCACUAAACUCCCUCAAUUAGAGGUUGAUUUGCUCUUCUAAUUUUAUUGCUACUACGUAUUAUUACUUUCUAUCGAAUACAAUUCUACAAUUUACAGCUGCUUGAAAACAUAACCGUUUAAACUUCUUUGCUUUAGCUUGGAUAUUUUUCCUA
rnacentral:lncRNA from 1 species